rnacentral:misc_RNA from 1 species
GAUGAAGAACGCAGCGAAAUGCGAUAAGUAAUGUGAAUUGCAGAAUUCAGUGAAUCAUCGAAUCUUUGAACGCACAUUGCGCCCGCCAGUACUCUGGCGGGCAUGCCUGUCUGAGCGUCAUUUCAACCCUCAGGGCCCUCCGUAGGCCCUGGCGUUGGGGAUCAGCCCUCCGGGGCUGGCCCUGAAACACAGUGGCGGCCCUCCGCGACCUCCUCUGCGCAGUAUUGUACCUCGCAGCUGGCGGCGCCGCUGGCCACGCCGUAAAACCCCCACUCCACAAGGUUGACCUCAGAUCAGGUAGGAAUACCCGCUGAACUUAAGCAUAUCAAUAAGCGGAGGA